AGGUACCUCUCGGUGAAAACCGGUCAUCUCUCCGACCCGUCUGGAAACACGGACCAAGGAGUUUAGCGUAUGUGCGAGCCGCUGGGUAUUGUAAAACCUAUGGGCACAAUGAAAGUGAAGGCUCGGUUGCCGAGCUUACAUGCGACCGUGCUGGUCUCGGCCAGUGCGGGCAGCAUGGUCCCGUUUCAGUCGCUUGCGAUGGAGCGGAGACAGAGUGCAUGCGCUGAGACCCGAAAGAUGGUGAACUAUUCCUGAGCAGGACGAAGCCAGAGGAAACUCUGGUGGAAGUCCGAAGCGAUUCUGACGUGCAAAUCGAUCGUCUGACUUGGGUAUAUUU
rnacentral:rRNA from 1 species